rnacentral:lncRNA from 10 species
GUGCAUUAUUAAUUUCCUACAUGGUUACUUUUUUUUUGUAUCCAUGUCUCCCCAGUCAACUAUAUCCUUUCCAUAUGGAGUCUUAAAGUCAUAUAAAUUAAAUGAGAACAAUGUGUUAUACAGGAAUAAGGGAAUAGUUGCUGGAUUUUUUUUUUAAAUAAAAUGACUUCAAUCGGUAGGUAUUUAUGGAAAAACACUAGAAUCUUUAUAAAUAUCUUUAUGCUUAAAUAUAUUUUAAUUGGCUGCACUAAUAAAAGAGAAGGACUUCAACAGAAGCCUUGGGAUUAAUAAUUACUUUGCUAAAAAUGAUGAAUUCUUGGCUGGUAUGUUUGCAGGGAUCGGGCUGUGAGUCCCUGAAUGGCUGGAACCCUGGCAGAGAGGAGCCCGGAGUGUCGAAAGAGGGGCAUCACAGAACAGAUGCAUCCUACAGAGGCUGGAGGACUCCGAGCUUGGGGAAGAGACAGUUAAAGCUUCCCCGUGAGAGCGAGUUAUAUCAUGCAGCGCCAGUGCCAGGUCAGCAGUCUGGCUGGAGCUGGACCGGCUGGUGGCGCCAGGCAGUGCCAAGCACCCCUGGCAGCCCUGCAGAGGGUUCUCAAAUCCAGAUUUCAUUCUGCAGUCCCGGCAGUGCUUUGACGACUGCCUCACUAAAGGAAGCUAAAAGCUGUGCCGAUGCCUCCCAGACGAGCCUCGUUGGAAGCACAGAACCUUCACGACUCGGAGCCGCUGACACGGUGACAAAGGGAGCCCUGCUCAGAGAGGAUUAUUGGCAACUGGCACCACCCCCACGUCUGGAGGAGGGACGUUUCUAGGAUGACCCCCAGAGUGGAGAAAUAGCCGAG